CGGUCACCUGACGCCCGAGCGGCCUCGCCAUUUGUCAGAACGCGUUCAGCCGUGGGAGCUUUAAACUCGAGUCUGACCUACGAACCUGCGGCGAACGUCUUGCGCGUUUCCUGCCCCUGACCCUGCCCAGCUGAAGCAGCAGCCCCACUAGAUAUGGCAGCCCACGUCAGACCCAUCCUUUCGCACGGCCCCGCCCCUUCUCGGAGCUUCUGCGGGAGGACCAUUCACAGAGCACCAGGCGGUCUGUGCUACGGCACCUCAAGAAUCAACCCAAGACAAUCUCUGGGCCCUAGUGCACACCCUGACACCUUUAAGUGGUUUCGAAAUCAGAAAAUAAAGCACUGGUCACCAAAAAUCCAG